rnacentral:rRNA from 1 species
AACUUUCAACAAUGGAUCUCUUGGUUCUGGCAUCGAUGAAGAACGCAGCGAAAUGCGAUAAGUAGUGUGAAUUGCAGAAUUCAGUGAAUCAUCGAAUCUUUGAACGCACAUUGCGCCCUUUGGUAUUCCACUGGGCAUGCCUGUUCGAGCGUCAUUA